UCCCUGGUAGCUGAGUCAGUAAAGAAUCUGCCUGCAAUGCAAGAGACCCAGGUUCAAUUCCUGGUCGGGAAG
rnacentral:tRNA from 1 species